rnacentral:rRNA from 1 species
AUGAAUGAGGUCACAAGGGAUAUACAAGGAGAUAUCCCAUGGUGUAUGCUCUUUACAGAUGAUGUGGUGCUAGUCGGCGAUAGUCGGACGGGGGUUAAUAGGAAGUUAGAGUUAUGGAGACAAACCUUGGAAUCGAAAGGUUUUAGGCUUAGUAUAACCAAAACCGAGUACAUGAGGUGCGGUUUCAGUAGGCAUGAGAAGGCGGAGGUUAGCCUUGAUGGGCAGGUGGUGUCUCAGAAGAACACCUUCGGAUAUUUGGGGUCAAUGUUGCAGAAGGAUGGGGGUAUUGAUGAGGAUGUGAACCAUUGA